CGAAAACCUAAAGGACACACAGAUUAAUAAUGCUAUUUGAACCUUUUCCACCUGUUUCCGGCAGCAAUGUUGAUCUGAUAGAGUUUGAACACAGACCCUUUCCUCAACAUGGUAAUAAAAGCCAAAUCCACUCCUGCACUGAGGUAGAAGAGCACAGCCAGGCCAUGUUUUCGCUCUCACAGCCGC